rnacentral:lncRNA from 1 species
AACCGCCCCAGGGCGGGGCUCCCGUCCGCUCCCUGCUGCCCUUUCCACCGCGGCCUCCGCCGAGGCUGCUGGGUCCUGCGGAGCUCCGAGCACGUGCGGUGCCCAGCUGCCGAUCUGAGGCGAUGCCUGCCCUGUUUUCACCAGGCUAAAAGAAGUAUUGAUCCACAACAAGGGUGCACGUGUGGUUCUAGAUCUGAAUGAGAUCUGCGUUCAUCAGGACUUGAGGUUUCUGACAACACCGUGUUUUGAGUAAUGUAUGUGAUCUCUGUAACGUAGAGGGACUUCAGAUGGGGAAAGUUGAGUUUGCUCUGAGGAUUACAGAACUGUGAUGUAAUUCCAGAGAAUGCUUGUAAAGCCCAGCUACGCUUUGGCAGAUGGGGCAGUGACGGAGCUCACUCAUGGCCACUGAGCUGCAUCUUCAACUAUAAUUCUUAGAGGGACUAGAUGAUGUCUGUGUACAUGUGGCUGGCUACUUGCUAAUUAAAAAGUAAGGGAUUUCAGACAUCUAUUUGAACGGUAGCCAUUUUAGGACAGCUUAGAAUGUUCCAGAAAGUUUAGGAUACUGCUUUUUAAAAGCAAAGGUUUAUAUAAAGAAAGGUUCCUAUAAUGGCCCAGAUAGUAAGUAUUGUUAAUAUUGGCUUUAGUUUUACAACUAUGUUGCUUUUGUGUGAGAAGUAAUGAAUGUAUCAUCAAAUAAAUGAACAUGGUUAUAUUCCAAUAAAACAUAACUGAUGAACACUGACAUUGGAAUUUCAUUGGCAUUUUCAGAGUCAACAUUCCCAAAUAUUUGAAAGUUUGAAAUUUUCCCAAAGGACAUUGACAAAGAGAUAGCAGAGCAGGAUUAGUAACAUUCUGACUGCUGGGUUUAGUCUUGAGGCACAAUGUUUUGUUUUGUGGGGGGAAGUUGGAGAGACAGUUCAUUCGUGGAAGGCCUGGCUGCUCUUCCAGAGGACCUACGUCAUUCACAACCAUCUUUAGCUUCAGACGGCUUCUGUGGUAUACAGGCAAAACACCAAUGCACAUGGAAAUUAAAAACUUUGUAAUUUACUUUUAUGCAUAGGGGCUUUUGCCUGCAUUGAUGUAUGUCUUCUUUGUUCCUGGCGCCCAUGAGGUCACCCUAGAACUGGAGGUAAAAAUAGGAUGU